rnacentral:lncRNA from 1 species
CUUAUAACAUGCCACUAAGGACUAGAUGGGGUGCUGUUACAUGUAAUUUAUUUUCAUAUUAUGGUAGAAAUUGAUAUUUAAUACAUCCAUUUCAAAUUUUAUAGAAAAAUGAUCAUAAAUAAACGAGAUAUUCAACAUUAUUUAGACACGUGCCUGUUUUUCUUUGAUAUGCCGAAAAUCAAUGAACCGUUUGACACGUGUCAAAUUACAUAACUGAUUACACGGGAAUCCUGCUAUCUGUUGUGUAUAAUCGACAAGUUUGGUAAAGUUGGAUACUAAUAAAUGAAUUGUUGUUGAAAUUUUAUUAUUAUUUUUUUUU